GAUGAACGCUAGCGGGAGGCCUAACACAUGCAAGCCGAGCGGUAGAGUUUCUUCGGAAACUUGAGAGCGGCGCACGGGUGCGUAACACGUGUGCAACCUACCUUUAUCUGGGGGAUAGCCUUUUGAAAGGGAUAUUAAUACCCCAUAAUAUAAUGAUCGGCAUCAAUUAUUAUUGAAAACUCCGGUGGAUAGAGAUGGGCACGCGCAAGAUUAGAUAGUUGGUGAGGUAACGGCUCACCAAGCCAAUGAUCUUUAGGGGUCCUGAGAGGGAGAUCCCCCAAACUGGUACUGAGCCACGGACCAGACGCCUACGGGAGGCAGCAGUGAGGCAUGUUGGACAAUGGGUAUGAGCCAGAGCCAGACAUCCAUCAUGAAGGAUGACGGUCCUAUGGUUAGUAAACUUCUUUUGUACAGGAUUAACCCUACUCUCGUGAGAGUAGCUCAAGGUCCUGAACGAAUAAGCACCGGCAAGCUACGUG
rnacentral:rRNA from 1 species